UCUCUCUCUCUCUCUCUGUCUCUAUCUCUUACUCAUUUGCUGUUUCCUGCAGAUUAUUCCCAGGAAUAAAUUCAUUACGCAGACUGACGACUAAAAAUGCCAUAUGACGAAUAAAAACCACGGAAUUGUAGCCACAUGCUGGAUGCAUAGCCAGAAAGAGAAGAAGGAUCGCGGAAAUGUGGAUACGACUGAUCUAAGCUGAAUUACCAGUAAAAUGUACUGUGAAACAAACACAUUAACCGUGAAUGUACGAAUCAAAAAUUACGGCACCACUUGCAACGUUUUUUAAUAUCUUAUUACAUGCUGUCAUACACGUAGAUCCAAGUUUUGCGUCGUUUCGCAAUGGCUCAGCUGCUUGCAAAGUCCACACAUUCUCUGCUGUAUACGAGUCUUCUUGUAGCCAUUGACGAUGUAUGUAGUAGGAACUGGAAGUUUCAAACAGGUUCCAACUCCCUAUGCUAUAGAAUAUCAAAGUGGGACACAGCCCGGCAUGUACAGUUAUGUCUCGAGGAAAUAUCUUUGUCAGAUACUAAAAGCAUAUAAUUUCAAAUUAUUGAGUAACAUAAUUUUCAAAUUUCAGAUAUGAUAUGGUGGAAAACGUCUGUUUCCUUAUUUGUAACACGCUUUGGAUAUACAUUGAUCUAGCAAGUACCAAAACUACAUAAAUCUGAGAAUUGUUCUUAAAGUUGUAGACAUGUGAAAUUAAGUAAAAAAUAAAUACUAUAUUCAGUAUGUAGUGUCAAUGAUAGGUCAAAUUCCUUGACAUUUCCCAA